rfam:Arabis alpina cultivar Pajares Aa.chr2_contig_777, whole genome shotgun sequence.
UGCGGCGAUGAUGAUAACACAUUAUCCCAGCUCAUUAUGAGGCCUUUUGUGGUCAAGGAAAAUAAUUGUUUUCUAACAUUUUCUGAGCCUUAUA